CUUCCAGUAGCACCUUAGAGACCAACUAAGUUUGUUAUUGGUAUGAGCUUUCGUGCGCAUGCACACUUCUUCAGAUACACACCAAUAACAAACUUAGUUGGUCUCUAAGGUGCUACUGGAAG